CCUACGGGGGGCAGCAGUGAGGAAUAUUGGUCAAUGGCCGAGAGGCUGAACCAGCCAAGCCGCGUGAGGGAAGACGGCCCUACGGGUUGUAAACCUCUUUUGUCGGGGAGCAAAGAGAGUCACGUGUGACUCAUUGAGAGUACCCGAAGAAAAAGCAUCGGCUAACUCCGUGCCAGCAGCCGCGGUAAUACGGAGGAUGCGAGCGUUAUCCGGAUUUAUUGGGUUUAAAGGGUGCGCAGGCGGAGGUGCAAGUCAGCGGUCAAAUUGCGGGGCUCAACCCCGUACUGCCGUUGAAACUGCAUGCCUUGAGUGCGCGAGAAGUAUGCGGAAUGCGUGGUGUAGCGGUGAAAUGCAUAGAUAUCACGCAGAACUCCGAUUGCGAAGGCAGCAUACCGGUGCGCAACUGACGCUCAUGCACGAAAGCGUGGGUAUCGAACAGGAUUAGAUACCCCUGUAGUC
rnacentral:rRNA from 1 species